GCCAGCGUAGCUCAGUGGUAGAGCAACGGUUUCGUAAACCGUCGGUCAAGAGUUCGACUCUCUUCGCUGGCUCCA
rnacentral:tRNA from 1 species